rnacentral:rRNA from 1 species
AAUCAACGCUGGCGGCGUGCCUAACACAUGCAAGUCGAACGAGAAAGCCGUAGCAAUACGGUGAGUACAGUGGCGACCGGGUGAGAAACACGUGGAUAACCUGCCAUCGAGUGGGGAAUAACCCUGGGAAACCGGGGAUAAUACCGCAUAACACCCAGCGGCUGCGGCCGCGGGGUUGAAACCCGCAAGGGGCUUGAUGAGGGGUCCGCGGCCGAUUAGCUAGUUGGUGAGGUAACGGCCCACCAAGGCGAUGGUCGGUAGCCGGCCUGAGAGGGCGGACGGCCACACUGGAACUGCAACACGGUCCAGACUCCUACGGGAGGCAGCAGUGGGGAAUUUUGCGCAAUGGGGGAAACCCUGACGCAGCAACGCCGCGUGGACGAUGAAGCCCUUUGGGGUGUAAAGUCCUUUCGGCAGGGACGAAUCCGGAGCAAUCCGGUUGACGGUACCUGAAGAAGAAGCCCCGGCCAACUUCGUGCCAGCAGCCGCGGUAAUACGAGGGGGGCAAGCGUUGUUCGGAAUCAUUGGGCGUAAAGGGCG